AGCAGCCGCGGUAAUUCCAGCUCCAAUAGCGUAUAUUAAAGUUGUUGCAGUUAAAAAGCUCGUAGUUGAAUUUCGAGGUUAGUAAGUUGGUCGUGCCACUGGUAUGCACUGGCUUUACUGAUUCCUCCCUCUUGACGAACCGUAAUGCCAUUAAUUUGGUGUUGCGGGAAAUCAGGACUGUUACUUUGAAAAAAUUAGAGUGUUUAAAGCAGGCUUACGCUUGAAUACAUUAGCAUGGAAUAAUGAAAUAGGACGUUCGAUCCUAUUUUGUUGGUUUCUAGGAUUGACGUAAUGAUUAAUAGGGAUAGUUGGGGGCAUUAGUAUUCAAUUGUCAGAGGUGAAAUUCUUGGAUUUAUUGAAGACUAACUACUGCGAAAGCAUUUGCCAAGGAUGUUUUCAUUAAUCAAGAACGAAAG
rnacentral:rRNA from 1 species